rnacentral:rRNA from 1 species
GACGAACCGUGCAAACGUUGUUCGGAAUCACUGGGCUUAAAGGGCGCGUAGGCGGCUCAUCAAGUCGGGGGUGAAAUACUUCAGCUUAACUGGAGAAGUGCCUUCGAUACUGGUGGGCUUGAGGGAGGUAGGGGUCUUUGGAACUUCUGGUGGAGCGGUGAAAUGCGUUGAUAUCAAGUGGAACACCAGUGGCGAAGGCGAAUCCCUGGAAAAUACCUGACACUGAGGCACGAAAGCUAGGGGAGCAAACAGG